GACGAACGCUGGCGGCGUGCCUAAUACAUGCAAGUAGAACGCUGAAGCUUGGUGCUUGCACCGAGCGGAUGAGUUGCGAACGGGUGAGUAACGCGUAGGUAACCUGCCUGGUAGCGGGGGAUGACUAUUGGAAACGAUAGCUAAUACCGCAUAAGAGUAGAUGUUGCAUGACAUUUGCUUAAAAGGUGCAAUUGCAUCACUACCAGAUGGACCUGCGUUGUAUUAGCUAGUUGGUGAGGUAACGGCUCACCAAGGCAACGAUACAUAGCCGACCUGAGAGGGUGAUCGGCCACACUGGGACUGAGACACGGCCCAGACUCCUACGGGAGGCAGCAGUAGGGAAUCUUCGGCAAUGGACGGAAGUCUGACCGAGCAACGCCGCGUGAGUGAAGAAGGUUUUCGGAUCGUAAAGCUCUGUUGUAAGAGAAGAACGAGUGUGAGAGUGGAAAGUUCACACUGUGACGGUAUCUUACCAGAAAGGGACGGCUAACUACGUG
rnacentral:rRNA from 1 species